CGUCUCGCGCACGCAGGUAUACGCAGACAUUGCAAGAGCCGCCGCGCGCACGCUGCGUGAGUUCCCGCCACAAUCCGAGAACGAGGAUGGCCUAGGGCGUCCACCAUAAACCUGGGAGGUGGACUCAAUAUUCGGCUGUCAGGAUUAUCAGGGAAAAACGAGGAGCGCCCUGCAACCCCAGAGAAACUCGUGGGUGCAAUCCUUCCCCUCCUCCCUGAGGGCUCUACGCUCUUGCUGGAGCCUGGCAGAUCUCUUGUGGCAACAGCUGGUGUAUUAUGACAGAAGUGUUGGGAUGA